rnacentral:rRNA from 1 species
GUCUAUGGCCAUACCACCCUGAAUGUGCCUGAUCCUGCCUGAUCUCAUGAAGCUAAGCAGGGUUGGGCCUGGUUAGUACUUAGAUGGGAGAAAAUAGGCAAAAAAGAAG